rnacentral:rRNA from 1 species
UACGGAGGGGGCUAGCGUUGCUCGGAAUCACUGGGCGUAAAGCGCACGUAGGCGGCUUUCUAAGUCAGGGGUGAAAUCCUGGAGCUCAACUCCAGAACUGCCUUUGAUACUGGGAAGCUUGAGUUCGGGGGAGGUGAGUGGAACUGCGAGUGUAGAGGUGAAAUUCGUAGAUAUUCGCAAGAACACCAGUGGCGAAGGCGGCUCACUGGCCCGAUACUGACGCUGAGGUGCGAAAGCGUGGGGAGCAAACAGG